rnacentral:SRP_RNA from 1 species
GCCGGGCGCGGUGGCGCGCGCCUGUAGUCCCAGCUACUCGGGAGGCUGAGGUGGGAGGAUCGCUUGAGUCCAGGAGUUCUGGGCUGCAGUGUGCUAUGCCGAUCGGGUGUCCGCACUAAGUUCGGCAUCAAUAUGGUGACCUCCCGGGAGCGGGGGACCACCAGGUUGCCUAAGGAGGGGUGAACCGGCCCAGGUCGGAAACGGAGCAGGUCAAAACUCCCGUGCUGAUCAGUAGUGGGAUCGCGCCUGUGAAUAGCCACUGUACUCCAGCCUGGGCAAUAUAGUGAGACCCCUUCUCU